UUGGAGGGCAGUCUGGUGCCAGCAGCCGCGGUAAUUCCAGCUCCAAUAGCGUAUAUUAAAGUUGUUGCAGUUAAAAAGCUCGUAGUUGAAUUUCGGGAUUAGUACGCUGGUCGUGCCUUCGGUACGUACUGAUGUUACUGAUUUCUACCUUCUGACGAACCAUCAUGUCAUUAAUUUGGUGUGGUGGGGAAUCAGGACUGUUACUUUGAAAAAAUUAGAGUGUUUAAAGCAGGCUCGCGCUUGAAUACAUUAGCAUGGAAUAAUGAAAUAGGACGUUGAUCCUAUUUUGUUGGUUUCUAGGAUUGACGUAAUGAUUAAUAGGGAUAGUUGGGGGCAUUAGUAUUCAAUUGUCAGAGGUGAAAUUCUUGGAUUUAUUGAAGACUAACUACUGCGAAAGCAUUUGCCAAGGAUGUUUUCAUUAAUCAAGAACGAAAGUUAGGGGAUCGAAGACGAUCAGAUACCGUCGUAGUCUUAACCAUAAACUAUGCCGACUAGGGAUCGGAUGAUGUUAUUUUUAAUGACUCAUUCGGCGCCUUACGGGAAAC
rnacentral:rRNA from 1 species